UCGUAGUUGAAUUUGUGUCUUGCGCUGUCGGUUCAUCGCUAGCAUGCGGUGUUUAACUGGCACGUUGUGAGACGUCUUGCCGGAAGGGCAUGGUAUAUGUUUUAUUUGUGUGUCCAUAGUAAUUACUAUUUAUUAUAUUAUAUUGGUGUGUAAUAGCCCUUUAUAAUAAAUUUAUGUGUGUACUAUGUGGCCGGAUUUAACGUAUACGUAGUCCGACUUAUAAUCCUGUCUAGGUGCUCUUAACUGAGUGUCGUGGCGGGCCGGCACGUUUACUUUGAACAAAUUAGAGUGCUUAAAGCAGGCUAAUGUUGCCUGAAUAUAGUGUGCAUGGAAUAAUGAAACAGGACCUCGGUUCUAUUUUGUUGGUUUUCUGAACUAACGAGGUAAUGAUUAAUAGGGACAGAUGGGGGCAUUCGUAUUGCGACGUUAGAGGUGAAAUUCUUGGAUCG
rnacentral:rRNA from 1 species